UACGUAGGGCGCAAGCGUUGUCCGGAAUUAUUGGGCGUAAAGAGCUCGUAGGCGGUCUGUUACGUCUGCUGUGAAAACCCGGGGCUUAACCCUGGGCUUGCAGUGGAUACGGGCAGACUAGAGGCAGGUAGGGGAGAAUGGAAUUCACGGUGUAGCAGUGAAAUGCGUAGAUAUCGUGAGGAACACCAGAGGCGAAGGCGGUUACCUGGACAGUUACUGACGCUCAGGCACGAAAGCAUGGGGAGCAAAAGGG
rnacentral:rRNA from 1 species